rnacentral:tRNA from 1 species
GCAGUGGUGGUUCAAUGGUUAAACUCUCACCUUCCACGCAGGAAACCCAGGUUCAAUUCCCGGCCAAUACA